UACGGAGGGUGCGAGCGUUAAUCGGAAUCACUGGGCGUAAAGCGCACGUAGGCGGCGCAUCAAGUCAGGCGUGAAAGCCCUCGGCUCAACCGGGGAAUUGCGUUUGAAACUGGUGUGCUGGAGUCUCGGAGAGGUUGGCGGAAUUCCAGGUGUAGGAGUGAAAUCCGUAGAUAUCUGGAGGAACACCGGUGGCGAAGGCGGCCAACUGGACGAGUACUGACGCUGAGGUGCGAAAGCGUGGGGAGCAAACAGG
rnacentral:rRNA from 1 species